CCGUAUAAGCCUUCCCUUCACCAGUUUUGCCUCUGAAGCUAAAUGUAGUAUACCUGGUUAGUACUUGGAUGCAAGACCACCUAAGAAUACAAGAUACUGUAUGGG
rnacentral:rRNA from 1 species